rnacentral:hammerhead_ribozyme from 1 species
ACCAGCUGGCGAGUCCCAAAUAAAACGAAACGCGCGUCCUGGAU